rnacentral:rRNA from 1 species
AUGUUUGCAAGUAACUUAGCCAACAUAAGGGUGGCAAUUUUCUGGAAAUAUUAUCUAGUGGAUGCCUCUGUUUCGAUCAGUAGACAACUUGAAAAGUGGUUACCAUUUAGUAUGGAUAACGAGGCGAUCAUGGGCUUAUAUGGUUAUGUCACUUGGUCAAUGAACGCAUUCCAAGAGUUUAUGUUUGGUGUAUUAUUGCCUUGUGCAGUUGCAACAAUUGCUAAUGCAGCAUAUUACACAACAUGUGCUCGUGCAUGGACGCAGUAUCAGUAUGCAUGUUAUAACAUACUCCCUCUUAUAUUACUUUACGGAGGGAGUACAAUAUUACUUGUGGACUGA